rnacentral:rRNA from 1 species
CCUACGGGAGGCAGCAGUGGGGAAUAUUGGACAAUGGGCGCAAGCCUGAUCCAGCCAUGCCGCGUGAGUGAUGAAGGCCUUAGGGUCGUAAAGCUCUUUUGUGCGGGAAGCGGUACCGCAAGAAUAAGCCCCGGCUAACUUCGUGCCAGCAGCCGCGGUAAUACGAAGGGGGCUAGCGUUGCUCGGAAUCACUGGGCGUAAAGGGUGCGUAGGCGGGUUCUUAAGUUAGAGGUGAAAGCCUGGAGCUCAACUCCAGAACUGCCUUUAAUACUGGGAAUCUUGAGUUCGGAAGAGGUGAGUGGAACUGCGAGUGUAGAGGUGAAAUUCGUAGAUAUUCGCAAGAACACCAGUGGCGAAGGCGGCUCACUGGUCCGAACUGACGCUGAGGCACGAAAGCGUGGGGAGCAAACAGGAUUAGAUACCCUUGUAGUC